rnacentral:lncRNA from 1 species
GAAACUAGAGAGAGAAAAAUUUAGAUCCUAGCUCUGACCGUUGUUUUUGAGUUAUUAUUUGCUUACAAUUUGGGCUAAUCCUGAAUCAUUCACUGGCUACAAGUCUCUAAAGAAAAACCGGGUUUUAGUUUCCUUCACGAUGCUUUUAGUCGGCUUCUUAAUGAAAUAGAAGUCGUGGUAUCCUGAAGACUAGAGAUGAUUCAACAGCCGGUGACCCUCCCUCACUGGGACUCUCACCGGGCCCGACCUGUUUUCCGACGCCAAGGCACCGCUGCUGAAGCCAGACAACCCCAAGCACCCUCCCUAAGGCUCAGGGACCAUCGCGGAAGAGGAGGGCAGGGGACCCUCCUGACAAGGCACAAAGGAAAACCUGGAACGGCCCUGAAAGAGAAGGAAGGCUCAUGCGGGCACAGCAGGAGGUGCCAACAUCACAUCCUACACUCAAGAAGAACGUUUUCCAGCUGAAGGAGGCCUGGGGAUCUGCUGUCCCUAUCCGCAGGAAGCACCGCACAGCUGGAUAGGGAAGAAACAGGAUCUUUAAAGUCCUAGUCAGUCCCAAGGGCUGAGCCACCCCUGCAGCCCACCUCCCUCCCGACCUGCCCAGGGCUCACCCAGGUGGGGGCUUUGCUGCCACUAAACCUGGACCCAGAAGGACAGAGGGGAGGGGUAGAAACCAGCACGAGCUGCAUCCAGGGAAGCUGCAGUCUCCGUUUAUACAAAACUUCCUUCAAAACAGGAGGAAGGAGGAGCAGAUGCCGAAGGAGCGGUGAGGUGGUUGUCUGAGAAGAUGACCACAGCAGAUGGCAGACAGGAACAGCCCGCCCAAGAGGGCUGGAGUUCAAUGCUUGUCAAAGCCCCAGCUGGCUGGCCGGGUGCAGUGGCUCAUGCCUGUAAUCCUGGCACUCUGGGAGGCCAAGGUGGGAGGAUCCCCUGAGGCCAGGAGUUGGAGAUCAGCCUGGGCAACAUAGUAG